UACGUAGGGUGCGAGCGUUGUCCGGAAUUACUGGGCGUAAAGAGCUCGUAGGUGGUUUGUCGCGUUGUUCGUGAAAACCGGGGGCUUAACCCUCGGCGUGCGGGCGAUACGGGCAGACUUGGGUACUGCAGGGGAGACUGGAAUUCCUGGUGUAGCGGUGGAAUGCGCAGAUAUCAGGAGGAACACCGGUGGCGAAGGCGGGUCUCUGGGCAGUAACUGACGCUGAGGAGCGAAAGCGUGGGGGAGCAAACAGG
rnacentral:rRNA from 1 species